UACAAAGUUUGUAGAAAUGUAGAAAUCAGAAUGCAGUCAAUAAUUAUGGUGGCUUAUUAAGUUGAACAAGUUAGGUUCUUUUUCUAAAGUCCAUGACUUCACUCUCCUGGAGUACUUGGCUGGGUUUCUAAUACCAGACAUGUUUUCCAUUUUCUUGGUUGAGUUUUAAGUUCCAUUGAACAGAUGUUAGUUACCACCAAACUAUGAGUGCCGCUAUGGAAACCAUAGGGAUAUCUUGCCAUGGUAAUCACUGCUGUAGUUUAUAGGUACAGCUGUGUAACACUGUUGGUUGCUUGCUGACAUCAUAAGCCCACAUAAAAACAUCCAGUCCUGUGAAAUCUAGUCUGCAUGCAGGAGGCUUUCAGGUCAAAUCCAAGAUGGAUUCUCUGAGGCCUGUUUCUGAAGUUCAUGUUGGCUUCAAAAAGUGGGGGCUUGCCUUCAAACUCUGGAAUAGAAUCAAAGGUCACAGCAGCAACCUAAUGGUUUUUCACAUGCUUUGGACACUGUUCAUCUGAAAGAGAAUUUUUUCCAUGCAUAGCACUGGUGCUUUUAUUACAUAGUAGUCUAUGUCCUCUGUGGGGAGCAUUGGCGGCCCAUGUGUCAUAACUUUUUUACAAACUAUGUGUAUGUUUAUAUAGACACAUACACAUGUCUUAGAGAUGUCUUAUUAAUGAAAUUCUUUCUGCCAGGGAAUGGCCUGAACUUUCUCAAGGUCACUAUAGCUAUGCAUUUUUCAGCCUUAUUCAUCUUUUCAAAAAGGCAACUCUUGGUUUCUCUCUUUAAAUUGCAUUUUCUUUAAAUGCAUCAUAGAUCUACUCUCUUAUUAUUAUUUAGUCCCUAGUGUUUCUUAGUAAUUACAAAGGUAUUUUUUAUUUUCUCAAGUGCUCUGUAUUAUUUACUUCCAUAGAGAACAUUGUCUCCUAUAGCCCAGGCUUUUCUCCUGCAAUGUAAUUACAAAUAGUCUUGAAUACCAAGACCGGUGUCUGCCUCCUAGUGCUGAGAAGACAGUCCUGAAACUCCUUCCAGGCUGGGCCUUACUGGUCAAUGCGAAGAUAAAUUAGGCCAGUGAAUGAGACUUCCAAACAUUCUGGCCUUUAUUGGAGACUUACAAAUGAAGAAGAAACUGUGUAAGAAGUGAGAUAACUUAUCAGUAUUGGAGUUUUUGUAUUCACAGCACUGAAAAGGAUGGGCAAGAAGAGGGAGGAAGCUUUCAUGCUUUGACAGUAGUUGACAUUAACAAUAUGAAGUGAGGUAGUCAAUCAUAGAUGAUCAGUAAAUGUCCUGAUUAGACAUUUGUGUGUUCUAGAGCACAGGCAUUCAAGAAUCAGAAUAAAAAAAUAACCUUCUGAAGAGGAAGACAUGACUGCUCUAAAUUGUGUAUCACCUGGGUUUUUUGUUGUUGUUGUUUUGGUUGUUUGUUUGUUUGUUUUUGCUUUUCUCCCAGAGUUGUUUGAUAACUACCAGGUGAAAAGUAGCUGCAGUUUCACUGACCCCACUGUGAAGUCACACAAUAACAAUUUCAUUUGUUUUCCUAAAAUUUCUCUUUAAUUGUCAGCAUUUUUGGCAGGCUUCCUCCUGUGGACAGAUGGUUAACUGCACUGCAAGUUGAAUACUGGGCUGUUCAAGCUAUCCCACUUGAUUUCAGGAGGAGGAGAAGUCCCUGCUCAGUGCUGGAAGACAGAAGGAAUUCAAUUACCUAUGCUGAUGUGAAUGUGAACUUCACUCGGGAAGAAUGGGCCUUGCUGAAUCCUUCCCAGAAGUGUCUCUACAAAGAUGUGAUGAUAGAGACCUUCAAGCACCUUACAGCUAUAGGCUACAAUUGGGAAGAGCAUAAUACUGAAGAACAUUAUCGACUAUCUACUAGAUAUGGAAGGUUCUCCCAGGAUCCUUCAGUCCCUACCUUCUAAAGGGAUUCCUCCAUGGUAACUUCCAUGGCCUUAUUCCUUGGGAACUGGGAACCCUCUGAGAACUGUUUGCAUAAGCUUGCAAGUAAAUAUUUACCAUGUCUUCAAUUAGCAAAUAUUACCUGUGGGAAGAAAGAAACAGCAUAACAUUAUAUAAUCAUCACUGGUCAAAAUUUGUCACACUGAAUAAAUAUGUGAAUAUGUUUCCAGUUUUUAUUAAUAA